rnacentral:rRNA from 1 species
UAGUAUUUAGUUAUUGGUUAAUAUUUAUAUAAUAUAAAUUAAUUCUAUAGAUAAAUAAAAAGUGGAAUUCUUAUGUUAUUUUAUAGAUGUAGGAUAUUUACAUAAGAGGCUAAAAAAUUUUAAAAAUAGACUAGGAUUAGAUACCCUAUUAUUUUAAAAUAUAAGUAAUAUACUAGAUUAUUAUAAGUUAGUUACUUUAAAUUUAAAAAAUUUGGCGGUAGUUUAGUCUAUUCAGAGGAACCUGUUUUUAAAUCGAUACACCACGUAAAAUUUUACUUGUUUUGUAUGGUUUGUAUACCAUCAUUGUUAGAUAAUUUUUAAAGAAAA